UGCACAUCUGUGAAAUGGAGCCAGCUACGU
rnacentral:piRNA from 1 species